UGUUCCACAGGGAUGCUGGUCCAUGUUGACUCUACAAGGUGUUGAAAGUGUUCCACAGGGAUGCUGGCCCAUGUUGACUCUACAAGGUGUUGAAAGUGUUCCACAGGGAUGCUGGCCCAUGUUGACUCUACAAGGUGUUGAAAGUGUUCCACAGGGAUGCUGGCCCAUGUUGACUCUACAAGGUGUUGAAAGUGUUCCACAGGGAUGCUGGCCCAUGUUGACUCUACAAGGUGUUGAAAGUGUUCCACAGGGAUGCUGGCCCAUGUUGACUCUACAAGGUGUUGAAAGCGUUCCACAGGGAUGCUGGCCCAUGUUGACUCUACAAGGUGUUGAAAGUGUUCCACAGGGAUGCUGGCCCAUGUUGACUCUACAAGGUGUUGAAAGUGUUCCACAGGGAUGCUGGCCCAUGUUGACUCUACAAGGUGUUGAAAGUGUUCCACAGGGAUGCUGGCCCAUGUUGACU